AGAGAGGACUGGACGAUCGCUGGUUCUGCCAAUGGUAGAAUGGGAGGAAAGUCCGGGCACCGCAGGACGAGGUGGUGGGUAACGCCCACCGGUCGUAAGACUAGGGAAAGUGCCACAGAAAAAAUACCGCCUAAGGAAGGCCAUCGGCCUUCCCGGUAAGGGUGAAAUGGUGCGGUAAGAGCGCACCAGCAGGUGAGGUGACUCACUUGGCUUGGUAAACCCCACCUGGUGCAAGGCCAAACAGAGGGCAGAGUCGGUCCGGCUCGCAUGACUCUCGGGUAGGCUGCUUGAGACGACGGGCAACCGUCGCCCUAGAGGAAUGAUCGUCUCGCGCAUUCGCAUGCGAUGACAAAACCCGGCUUACAGGUCCUCUCUGGGG
rnacentral:RNase_P_RNA from 1 species